rnacentral:rRNA from 1 species
GGAUUAGAUACCCUGGUAGUCCACGCCGUAAACGAUGUCUACUAGCUGUAGGGGUACUUGAGACCUUUGUAGCGCAGCUAACGCACUAAGUAGACCGCCUGGGGAGUACGGCCGCAAGGUUAAAACUCAAAUGAAUUGACGGGGGCCCGCACAAGCAGUGGAGCAUGUGGUUUAAUUCGAUGCAACGCGAAGAACCUUACCAGGCCUUGACAUCCUCGGAACUUUCUAGAGAUAGAUUGGUGCCUUCGGGAACCGAGUGACAGGUGCUGCAUGGCUGUCGUCAGCUCGUGCCG